rnacentral:rRNA from 1 species
UGGGGAAUUUUGGACAAUGGGCGCAAGCCUGAUCCAGCAAUGCCGCGUGCAGGAAGAAGGCCUUCGGGUUGUAAACUGCUUUUGUACGGAACGAAAAGGCUCUGGUUAAUACCUGGGGCACAUGACGGUACCGUAAGAAUAAGCACCGGCUAACUACGUGCCAGCAGCCGCGGUAAUACGUAGGGUGCAAGCGUUAAUCGGAAUUACUGGGCGUAAAGCGUGCGCAGGCGGUUUUGUAAGACAGGCGUGAAAUCCCCGGGCUCAACCUGGGAAUUGCGCUUGUGACUGCAAGGCUGGAGUGCGGCAGAGGGGGAUGGAAUUCCGCGUGUAGCAGUGAAAUGCGUAGAUAUGCGGAGGAACACCGAUGGCGAAGGCAAUCCCCUGGGCCUGCACUGACGCUCAUGCACGAAAGCGUGGGGAGCAAACAGG